rnacentral:rRNA from 1 species
UACGUAGGGGGCAAGCGUUGUCCGGAUUUAUUGGGCGUAAAGAGCGUGUAGGCGGCUUUACAGGUCCGUUGUGAAAACUCGAGGCUCAACCUCGAGACGCCGGUGGAAACCGUAAGGCUAGAGUCCGGAAGAGGUGAGUGGAACUGCGAGUGUAGAGGUGAAAUUCGUAGAUAUUCGCAAGAACACCAGUGGCGAAGGCGGCUCACUGGUCCGGUACUGACGCUGAGGUGCGAAAGCGUGGGGAGCAAACAGG